GGGACAUCUGAAGACGGUGCCGACCAUCAGGGCCGAGUUGCGACGAGAGAGUGUGUCGAUGUUAAGAUAUUAAGCCGAGUUGGCCAGGUCCCUAAAUCUUGGAUGGCGAGCUGUAGAUAGGCCUUGAGCCCGAGCCCAAGGAUCUCCACCUCU